ACAGAAUCAGAUCGAGAGUUUGAGAGAAGAGAUGGAGAAAGAAAUCCAGAGAGAGAGAGGGAGAGUUAGAUCGAGAGAAAGAGUGACGAUGAGUUCAUCCAUGACUGUUGACGGUAGUGCUUGUUGAAAAAAUGAUUCUUCUUCUUCGUCAAAACGAGACAUGUGGAAAUGGAUAGCAAUGCUGUAAAUGAAAAUCUCUUUACCCAUCAGAUUGGUAGCGACAUUGUCUAGAAGCCAGGAAGACCAGUCCUUGUUGUUAGCUGGACUGCAGAUGAAGAUUUUGGCAUGCUUCUGGAAGCCGCUUUAAUACAUGAUAGGUGUGUUGCUGCCAUAAUGAAUGAGGAUGAAAGAGAUGUUGUUUGAGGGCUCUCGCACUGAAAAUAGUAGCAUGUACCCAAAGUUGUUGUUCAUUUACGCAGUGAAAAAAGUAGUGUGUUGCUAAAACCAACAAUUUUUUGUUAAUAAUCAAAAUGCAAAACUACUCGAGGUGUCGUUCGUGAUAUGUUGCCUGGAGAUGAUGCAUAUGAGUUACGAGUGAAGCUUCUGAAGCAAGUUCCGGAAGAGUACUCGUAUAAAGACGAUGAGUAACUUCUGACAGUCUGCAUUAGUAGUUUCAUUUUUGUUCUAUGUUAAAAGAAUAAAUAAAUGGACUCCAAGUCAUCUUACACAAACAAGCUCUCUUAAAAACCUUACUAGAAUUGUAAUUUUUGGGGUGUUCAACGUCUUACUGUAGUAGCAAACAUCAAUUGUUCGUGUAGGUUGAACCAUAUUAAAAGCUCUUUCCGUUGCCGAAA